AUGAAAAUGAGGAAAAGCAAAAGAUGAAAGUAAAAGAAAAGUUUGACAAGUAUAUUAAAGAGAAGCUGUUGGAAUUCUGUGAUGUACUGGAUAUACCUGUUACCAAAGCUACUUCCAGAAAGGAAGACAUGGUGGUAAAGUUGAUGGACUUUCUGGAAGCUCCUCAUGCUACAACUUCUGAGUUGCUGGCCGAGAAGGACCAGUCAAGCAGAGGAAAGAAGCGGAGAAGAGAGAGCAAAAAAAGUCCCUCAUCGGCAUCCGCUAGCUCGAAAGGAUCAACCAAGGUAUUUCUCUCCUCUUAACAUCUAUUUGAGUUCUAGUAGUGAAAUAAUACCAACUGAAAUAUGGUUUUCCAUUUGCAACCGGCUACUUGUAUCCUGUAGUCUUAACUCUUAAUAUUCACGAACAAAAU
rnacentral:misc_RNA from 1 species